rnacentral:tRNA from 1 species
AGUUAUAGAGCUACACAAGAAAGCAUGUGUCUUGAAAACACAAGGAAAGGAGUUUAACUCUCCUAAUAACUU